CCAAGGCUUGACAUAUACCGGAAAGCAUCAGAGAUGGUGCCCCCCUUGUGGUCGGUAUACAGGUGGUGCAUGGCUGUCGUCAGCUCGUGUCGUGAGAUGUUGGGUUAAGUCCCGCAACGAGCGCAACCCUUGUUCUGUGUUGCCAGCAUGCCCUUCGGGGUGAUGGGGACUCACAGGAGACUGCCGGGGUCAACUCGGAGGAAGA
rnacentral:rRNA from 1 species